UGUCAGUAUUUACUUUAUAGUGUAUUGCUACAUCAUACAGAUCUAACCAUGUCAAUAUAGAUAACGUGGUAAAACAUCUUCAGUCGCCUUCAAUAUAGACACAGCUGCUUUACUCUAAAUCCACCUGCAUCAGUGGAAGCUAUUCCUAUAAAAGCACAAUGAAUAAGCAAUAUCAGAAUAGUGCGAUCUGUUUUCCAACUUUAAAAAACAUAAUUUUAAACUUUAUUUAUCUGUUUAUUAGAUAUGUGUGAACUGGGCUCAAAUCCAUCAAUUUUCUUCAUUUAAUGUAGAACAAAGGCAAUAAUAUCUUCUGUCCAGCACAAAAUUAGAAAUAUUUUGAGUUACCUUACAAUAAACAGACAAAGUUUGAGAGUAUUUAACAGAUCAAAUUCAAAUAUUAAUCCAAGUGCUGAAAAGACAGUCUAGAAGAGCAUAAAUUUAAUUAUACUGAUCUAUUUACAUUAAGACUUCUUUCAUGUGCUAAGGAGUUUAAAAAAAAAAAAAAAAAAAAAAAAAAAAAAAGCAGAGUAACUCAUACAAUUCUAAGAAUUGAUAUAAUUAUGCAAAGAUACUUUCAAAUUUAACAAAAAGCAAAUAAUUUUUAAAAAAUGCAGGUAAAGAUUGCUUGCAGAAAGUUGUAUCACUUAUUGUACCAACAGCUAUUUUAAGAGUUCUGAAAUAAACAGAACACUGAAAUGUAUUCAGAACCACAGUGGUGGUGCUGGUGACGUGCUGGCACAGCUGCCCAGAUAACUUUGGAAGCCCCAUUCCUAGAUCUAUUCAAGGCCAAGACGGAUGGGGCCCUGAACAGCCUGAUCUGGUACACUGCAGCUGAGUACGCUUUAAGGUCUCUUCCAGCCCAAGCCAUUCCAUGAUUCCAUCACUCUAUGACUCUAUGAUAAUAAAUCCAAGCUGCCUUGGGUUGCCAGACUGGAACAUCUGAAGAGGUCCAUCUCUUUAAGCAAAGUUAUGCAAAAAAAGAUUGCAUUUGACCACGAAUACUCCCAGGCAUAAAGAACACCAAGGUAAAUGUGAAUUGCAUAAUUCAACAGCUGUUGAUGAAAACAAAAGUAAUUAUCUUGCUAACAUCUAUAAAGAUUUGGAGAUAAAGUCAAGAAAAGCUGCAACCAGACAGACCCAAGAAGAAAUGAGAAAAGAUGUUACAGACAUGCUAAGAUCCUCUAGUUUGCUGUCAUUCAGCAUAAGAAGACUGAUCUCAAAACUUUGAAACUCAAAGAGUUCCCAAAACUUUUAAGCUUGCUCAGAGAUCAUCAUGACUGGCAGACUCUGAUAAUGUAUUCACCUGUGCAAUUCUUUUUUCCUUCUCAAUACAUG
rnacentral:lncRNA from 1 species